CUCCUUCUCUUUUAUUCAUUUCUAUCCUUGUUGUAUUCACCGGCAGUCACGAUAUCUUAGAUUCUUUGUAAUCUUUUCAGAGCAGCGUCUUAACUAUUACUCCAAGAGCUUCGGGGGCUAAUCAUCUUAUAAAGCUGAACUCGGCAAUCCAGCAAAAACAGCUAGUUGGACUGUUUAUUUAUGUCCCUCAAAUGAGCUGAUUAUGAAUUCCUUGGAUGAGUCGCUAAGUUGCAGUGACUCUCAGGUUUUCCCAUCUGUGAGAUAAAGUGGACGAAAUUCCUGUUUUGAUCAGUUCUUGAGCAGCAAAUCAGCUUCUGCCAUACUUCUACGCCUGCCGCCUGAGCUCAUUCGGUGUUCUCUUUGUUGCUGUCCAUUAUGUUUUCUCAGGCUGCGCUACAGAUCUGUUUUCUCCACCUAUUGAACCCCCCGUCCUCAAAACAGUGAGAAACUUCUGCAAUGCAUGAUAAGCCGCAUCUACCUAAUAUUAUCGACAGACUUUUUCUGCCAGGAAAAGAAAUGCCCAAUGAAAGCAAAUCAAUGGGCCAUGGAAGCAGGUCUUCCCAGCAGUGACCUAAUCUGCCUGUUUCAAAAGAAGAGGUUACAAUGACAUGAACCGUGAGACGGGAGAGAGAGCCCGCUAAGCUUGAAUCCCCGUCUGUAUGCUUACCUGCUAGGUCACAUCUCUGAGCUCCAAUGUCCUCAUCUGUGAAACCGUAAGAGCGAUAGUCACCUGACCUGGCGCUUCAGGUUUGCUGAUUGUUUUUAACGUAUCAUACGUGGAAUUUUUUGUACACUUUACAACGCUAUGCAAAUAUAAGUUCGCAUGAUUCUUCUUUCACUUUUGGCGGGACUCUAAAGUUAAAGCUGGACUCUUUUUCCCGUCCUCAGUGGAGAGAAGUACUAGGUAGGGAAGCAUGUAUUUAUCCAGCACACUGGGGGCAAGGAUUUUAUGGUGGAGUGACCUUGGCCGGCAUUUGGUAAAAUUGCUGCGUAGACAUAUUUUUGCCUUGGUUCGGAGCUUGUAAGAACAGACCCCUGAGACAAAGAUUAGAAUGUCAAGAGUUCACUUGGGAAAUGACCCUAGGAAACACCUGUAGGGGGGUGGGGAAGUGAGUCAAGGAAGGAAAGGAGCCAAGGAAUGGUGGGUUAACAAGGGAGCUGUUACCAAGGUUGGCAAGCUGAGCUUAAUCCCGAGGGGGAGUAUGAAGCCAGUGUAGGACACACACCUCAGAGCUGGUCCAUCCCCAGCACAGUGAAGCCCGGGAACUGAACCACUCAUUCCAUUCAGCUGAUCGGUUAAGCGUUUCUCACUGGGAGGUAUUAAUGCCAACAGCACUUUCUACCCACCUCUCCUCUCCCUUGGCCAGAGAAAGGCUCUGCAGCAGGGAAUGACCAUGGAGGGCCAGGGGCCAUCGUGGUGCCGGCAGUUGGAUGUUUAGCCACCGUUACAAAAAUAUUAAGGGAUUAGAGGCAGGGCACCGAUGGCAUCAAUCUCAAUGAUGCAUCAGGAAGUUUGGGUAAAGCAUCUUAAUCUCUGUGCCUCAGAUGGCGUUUUGUCUUAUUCAGUGAUUAUAAACAAUAUGAUCUACGAUUUGAUGUUAUUAACAUUGGUGGUAGGAGAGAGCAAAGACUGAAGAGGCUAUUGUGUGGUGAAGCACCUGGGUGGCUCACUGUGUUAAGCAUCUGACUCCUGAUUUC